rnacentral:misc_RNA from 1 species
GCCCGCCGGAGGACACACAAACUAUACUUGAAUUAUUGGCCCUUCUGAGAACAAGCUUCAAUAAUCAAAACUUUCAACAACGGAUCUCUUGGUUCUGGCAUCGAUGAAGAACGCAGCGAAAUGCGAUAAGUAAUGUGAAUUGCAGACUUCAGUGAAUCAUCGAAUCUUUGAACGCACAUUGCGCCCGCCAGCAUUCUGGCGGGCAUGCCUGUCCGAGCGUCAUUUCAACCCUCAAGCUCAGCUUGGUGUUGGGGCACUACGGCUCAGCCGUAGGCCCUGAAAUUUAGUGGCGGGCUCUCUGGGAGUCCGGGCGUAGUAGCAAUAUGUCGCCCGCGGUCCCCCGGAGCGCUCCGGCCGUUAAACUCCCAAAAUUUACAGAAGGUUGACCUCGGAUCAGGUAGGACUACCCGCUGAACUUAAGCAUAUC